CAGUAGCCACGGGAACACGGAGGGUGCAAGCGUUAAUCGGAAUUACUGGGCGUAAAGCGCACGCAGGCGGUCUGACAAGUCAGAUGUGAAAUCCCCGGGCUUAACCUGGGAACUGCAUUUGAAACUGUCAGGCUGGAGUCUUGUAGAGGGGGGUAGAAUUCCAGGUGUAGCGGUGAAAUGCGUAGAGAUCUGGAGGAAUACCGGUGGCGAAGGCGGCCCCCUGGACAAAGACUGACGCUCAGGUGCGAAAGCGUGGGGAGCAAACAGGAUUAGAUACCCCGGUAGUCCCUGUCUCUUAUAC
rnacentral:rRNA from 1 species